AACUACACAUAAAAAAUAAAGAGCUGGAAAAGAAUUUGGCUCAGUUCCAAGAGAAACUGCAUCUGCAGCAGUUAAUGCAUGACUAUGUCACAAGCAGAGAUGUUCAAGUUCAAACAGAAUCCCACUUAUGGCAUAAGGGUGGACACAGCAAGGAUCUCAAUCUAGAGAGUGAAAGUGUCAGACUACUUCAGAUGUAUAAUAAUCUCCAGAAAUGUUACAUUAAAGAAAUCAAAACAAACAAGGAGCAAAGUGAAACAAUUAAAAAUCUCACUAUUAAAAUUCAUGAGCUAGAGCAUAAUCUUCGAGAGCAGAGACAAAGAAUUGAGCAAUUGGAAUGUAGAAAGGUUUCUAAGAAGGCUAGAGUUGUUUCUGAAAAAAGAAGUCAAACCUCAGAGGGAGAAGUAACAUCUUGCAGGCACAUACAUAAAAAGAAGGAAUCGUGUUGCAGUAAAUACUUAGAGCUAUUGUUGAAGGAGAUUAAGAAGCUGAAGAAAGAAAAUGAAAAGUUGUCUACAGAAAGGAGAGCACUAAGAAAUGAAUUAGCUGGAUUAGACAAGGAUUUUUUUGAAGAGAUAGAAGAUUUAAAGCAUGCUGUACAGGAAUCUGUGAAACUGAAUAAUCAGUAUGAGAAGUGUUUGAAACAAAUAUAUGCAAUUUAUGGACUUCCUUUAACAACACCUUUGUGA
rnacentral:lncRNA from 1 species